CACUUGUCGGCCACUGGUAUUCUCCAAUCUCUUUAUCUUUAGCUUGACCCUCCCCAUCCUACACCUUUUUCACCGCAAACCCCUUAAUUCCUUGUCGCAAACCCUUCAAGAUGAUAGCUAAAAUUUUGUCCGCCUCUUCAUCUUUUCUACCUUACAACUCACGACCGGACGAGCUGCAAAAUCGGUCUUUAAGGCGAACGAGAGAAUCGGGUGGCGUCCGAAAUUCCCAGACCAACCAACAAAAUUACUUAACAAAUAA